UGGUUAGAAUGUAAUGUAGAUAUUUCUAGAUGGAGUCUUGUGUGACAUCGUGAAUGACUUUUAAUUAUGCACAUAGCACUGCUGAGGUGUGUGUGUGUGUGUGUGUGUGUGUGUGUGUGUGUUAUUUUGGCACCAUUCCCAAAGAGAAUUACCUUAUUUCACAAUGAACACAGACCUCCACCACCAA